rnacentral:rRNA from 1 species
ACGCUCGACACCUACGGGAGGCAGCAGUGGGGAAUAUUGCACAAUGGGGGAAACCCUGAUGCAGCGACGCCGCGUGAAGGAAGAAGUAUUUCGGUAUGUAAACUUCUAUCAGCAGGGAAGAAAAUGACGGUACCUGACUAAGAAGCCCCGGCUAACUACGUGCCACAGCCGCGUAAUCUGAGCGGGCUGGCAAGGC